AUACGGAGGGUGCAAGCGUUAUCCGGAAUCAUUGGGUUUAAAGGGUCCGUAGGCGGGCAAUUAAGUCAGAGGUGAAAUCCCACAGCUCAACUGUGGAACUGCCUUUGAUACUGGUUGUCUUGAAUUAUAGUGAAGUAGAUAGAAUAUGUAGUGUAGCGGUGAAAUGCUUAGAUAUUACAUAGAAUACCGAUUGCGAAGGCAGUCUACUAACUGUAUAUUGACGCUGAUGGACGAAAGCGUGGGGAGCGAACAGGAUUAGAAACCCUUGUAGUCC
rnacentral:rRNA from 1 species